CAGCAGCCACGGUAAUACGAAGGGGGCUAGCGUUGCUCGGAAUGACUGGGCGUAAAGGGCGCGUAGGCGGCGAUCAAAGUCAGGCGUGAAAUUCCUGGGCUCAACCUGGGGGCUGCGCUUGAUACUUGGUUGCUUGAGUGGGGAAGAGGGUCGUGGAAUUCCCAGUGUAGAGGUGAAAUUCGUAGAUAUUGGGAAGAACACCGGUGGCGAAGGCGGCGACCUGGUCCUUGACUGACGCUGAGGCGCGAAAGCGCGGGGAGCAAACAGGAUUAGAUACCCCUGUAGUCCCUGUCUCUUAUAC
rnacentral:rRNA from 1 species